AUGUCUGUCUCAAAAGGACACGCAACCGCAAAAGGACGCCCUCAAAAACACGUAAGGAGGUCACUACUUGUGCAGUUGACCCUUGUGACCUCUCUCAGCUACUUAACUUGUUGGAAGGAGGUGGUUUUGAAGUUAACUGCUGACCAGAUCGCUUAGUCUGCGCACCCAGAAGAUGGAUCAGUAUUUCUAUAAACCCAAUACUGUUAAAUCCUAUCAGAGAAUAUUCCAGAUUGGAAAUGUCCCUGUUUUCCUAAAAGGAAGAACAGAUCGUUUCAUUUAUCGUUCAGCAAUGGCUCUGAGUUCUGUUGGGAUAAUAUUAACACUCGCCGGUGUUGGAAUGAUGGCAACUGGUCUGAUGAGAAAGAAAUGAACAAUUCAUUCUUCUUUAGUUAGAGUUAUUUAUAAAUUAUGUCAUUCGUGUUCAUGGCACAACCUUUUUGUUGUAUGUUCAGUGUGUAUGUUCAGUGUGUAGAAUUAUUUUGUGUACGAUGCAUGUCAAUGAUGCAACGAUCAUAUUUACCUAGUACCUAUAGCGAUAUAAUUAUUAUAAGCUGAUUAAUUUUAUUGUGAA